rnacentral:tRNA from 1 species
AGCAGCGUGGCUUAGUGGAAAGAGCCUGGGCUUUGGAGUCAGAGGUCAUGGGUUCGACUCCCGGCUCUGCCA